GACGAACGCUGGCGGCGUGCCUAAUACAUGCAAGUCGAACGCACAGUUUAUACCGUAGCUUGCUACACCAUAGACUGUGAGUUGCGAACGGUUGAGUAACGCGUAGGUAUCCUGCCUGGUAGCGGGGGAUAACUAUUGGAAACGAUAGCUAAUACCUCAUACUAUUAAUUAUUGCAUGAUAAUUAAUUGAAAGGUGCAAUUGCACCACUACCAGAUGGACCUUCGUUGUAUUAGCUAGUAGGUGAGGUAACGGCUCACCUAGGCGACGAUACAUAGCCGACCUGAGAGGGUGAUCGGCCACACUGGGACGGAGACACGGCCCAGACGGCUACGGGAGGCAGCAGGAGGGAAACUUCGGAAAGGGACGAAAGGCUGACCGAGAAACGCCGCGGGAGGGAAGAAGGGUGUCGGAUCGGAAAGGUCGGUUGUAAGAGAAGAAAGGGUGUGAGAGUGGAAAGUUCACACUGUGACGGUAUCGUACCAGAAAGGGACGGCUAACUACGUG
rnacentral:rRNA from 1 species